UCUUCACUUGUGCCUAGGAAAAACCAGUUUUUCUUUUUUGUCUAUUGCCAACAUCUACUCUAAAAGUUCCACUGAAUCUGGACUGCGCUCCAUGGCUCUGCUUCUCAGCUGCCCUUAGCCCCCUCCUCCACUCUGCUUCCCUCUGCUUUCCUACUCUCUGGGCAGGGAGAAUUGCGCUGCUGGGACAAACCCCCACCUGUCCCCAGGAGCUGCUUGCCCUGCGCAUGCCUGCUGCACUGGGUGCUCUGUGCAGUGAGUGUGAGCCUCUCUUCCUGUCCUCAGUCCUUGGGGGCAACAGAAGCCUGGAGAUUCUCUUCUUCCCCUCUCACAUUCAUGACUCUUUAGCCCUCUCUUUGCUCUGUAUUUUCAUUACAACAAUUUGUUCUUUUACAUCAAACGCAAAGCCAGGCCCUGACACCUGAAGGUUCAGAGAUGCAUAUGCACAGUGACACUGUCCUGUCUGCAGCUCUCAUCUGGAAGGGAAGGACCCCCCCCCAUGUGGGGCAAGGCUCUCUGCCCCCUGAACUGAGGAACCGAAGAAACCGGGCCACUGUGCAUACUGGGAGAGUAGGAGUGUGGUAAGAUGGAGAAAGCCCAGAGCCUGGCCAGGAGCAGUCUGCCGGGCAAGGUGGCAGCACGAAGAGCCAGCGAGCACGCUGUGAGCUGCCCAUCCAUCUUCCCGUUCAACCCCCACCCUUCUCUGUCUUGUAACCUCAUAGCAAAGCAUGGCUCACCAAGAGCACAACACAGAAAAUGUUUUCAUCAAAAUUCCCUGCAAGAGCAACAACAAAAAAUAAUAUUACCCUGCUUUCUGCA